GGCACGUUUGAAAACUUGGGUUUAGCUUGUGAGGCUGUCUGAAUCUCUCUGUCCUGGGUGUUCAUACCAUCUUCCUCGCCCUCAAUGGUCUACGCUUGCUCCUCCUGUCAGCAGGUGACUGAAAGGAGAGGAGAGACACUCGCGGUUUCCCUCAUGCCCACUGACAUAGAUGUUUUGGGACUGGUGUAUAGUGGCUGGAAGGCCAAUCAGUCCCAGUCACUUAGCCAACAUAAAGAUGGCUGUGGUGAGGAAGGCUCAUUGGCAGUCUCACCUAACAGAAGAUAUUCUUCCUGGAACCCUUUUGUGGAUCAGAGGCUCCAACUGACUGUUCUUGUUCUUGGUUGUUUUCUGCUGGAUGACAAAAUGAAAAGCUAUGGAUUCCUUCCAGACUAAUAUGGUUUGAUGAAGCAAGACACCCUG